rnacentral:lncRNA from 1 species
CGCGGCCGAGGGGACGCUGCGGACCCCCGGCCCCGCCGGAACUACAUUUCCCGUGAGUCCCCGGGGCUCCGCUGCGGCGUGGGGGACGCCCGGGGGCGUGGCCUGGCUGCUGCGGACCCCCGGCCUUGCAGGAACUACAUUUCCCACGAGGCCCCGGGGGCUCCGCUGCGGCGCGGGGGCCGCCGGGGGACGUGGCAUGGCUGCUGCGGUCCCUCCGGCUUCAGGAGCGCCGGGAACUACAUUUCCCGUGAGGCCCCGGGAGGGGACGCGCGGGGGCGGGGCCGGGGGCGUCCCACGUCGGCUCUGGGGCCGCGGCGGCCAUGUUGGGCUGAGGCGAUGACAGGAGGCGGCCGGGACGCGACGCACUGAGGCGAGGGGAGACCCGGGGCUCCUGCGACGGGGAGACCUCCACCCCCGCCCCGGGGGACGCCGCGGGGCGCAGCCUCCGCCCCUCCCGGCUCCGCUCGGCGGCUCGGCGCCCACCCACAGGGCUCGGCUGGGCUCGGAAGCUCCGCUCGGCUGCGUUCGACCCCGCUCGGCCCCCAUCUACGCGGCUCGGCGACGCUCGGCUCGGCCCGGAAGCUCGGCUCAGCGGCGCUCGGCUCCCACCUACGCGGCUCGGCCCCCCUCGGCCCCGCUCGUCCCGGCUCGUCCCGGCUCGUUCCCCCGCCCGUCCCCGCUCGGCUCCGCUCGGUCCCCUCGGCCCUGCUCGGCCCCGCUCGUUCCUGCUCGUCCCUAGCUCGUCCCCGCUCGGUCCCCUCGGCCCCGCUCGUCCCCUAGCUCGUCCCCGCUCGUCCCCGCUCGUCCUUGCUCGUCCGUACUCGGCUCCCUCGGCCCCUAGCUCGUCCCUCCUCGGCCCCAGCUCGGCCCCGCUCGUCCCCCUUCGUCCCGCCUCGGUCCCCUCUGCCCUUAGCUCGUCCGUGCUCGUCCCCGCUCGUUCCUGCUCGUCUCCCCUCGGCCUCCGUCGGCCCCUAUCUCGUCCCCGCUCGUUCCUGCUCGUCUCCUCCCGGUCCCCUCGGUCCCUAGCUCGGCCCGGCUCGUCCCCCCUCGGCCCCAGCUCGUCCCCCUUCGUCCCGGCUCGGCCCCGCUCGGCCCCCCGAUGCGCGUCCGCCUCGCCGUCGGCCCGGGCGGCCCCCGCGGACGUGAGUCACCGGCCCCGGCGGCGGGGAGGGGCCGCGGCGGCCGCGCUUAAGGCCGCGCCCCAUGUCCGCCCGCCAGUGCGCAGCGCGCUGAGCCCGCGGCCGCCAUGACCUCCGCGCCCGGCCCCGCCGGCAUGGUGAGGAGGACUCGGGGGAGGACGGGGAGCGGGGGGAGGAUGGAGAGAGGGGAGGACGGGGAGCGGGAGG